UAAUGGCUUACCAAGGCGAUGACGGGUAACUGGUCUGAGAGGGCGACCAGUCACACUGGAACUGAGACACGGUCCAGACUCCUACGGGAGGCAGCAGUGGGGAAUAUUGGGCAAUGGGGGCAACCCUGACCCAGCGACGCCGCGUGAGGGAAGAAGUCUUUCGGGACGUAAACCUCUGUUGUACGGGAAGAAGGAAGUGACGGUACCGUACGAGGAAGCCCCGGCAAACUACGUGCCAGCAGCCGCGGUAAUACGUAGGGGGCGAGCGUUGUCCGGAAUUACUGGGCGUAAAGAGCACGUAGGCGGAUCGUUAAGUCUACUGUGAAAGUCCCGGGCUCAACCUGGGAAUUGCAGUGGAUACUGGCGGACUAGAGUACUGGAGAGGGAAGUGGAAUUCCCGGUGUAGCGGUGAAAUGCGCAGAUAUCGGGAGGAACACCAGUGGCGAAGGCGGCUUCCUGGCCAGUAACUGACGCUGAGGUGCGAAAGCUGGGGGAGCGAACCGGAUUAGAUACCCGGGUAGUCCCAGCCGUAAACGCUGAAUGCUAGGUGUUCGCAGUGCGAGCUGUGAGUGCCGCAGUUAACGCGAUAAGCAUUCCGCCUGGGGAGUACGACCGCAAGGUUGAAACUCAAAAGAAUUGACGGGGGCCCGCACAAGCGGUGGAGCACGUGGUUUAAUUCGAUGCAAACCGAAGAACCUUACCUGGGUUUGACAUGUACGUGUUACGGAUCUGAAAGGUGAAGGACCCUUGCUUCGGUAAGGGAGCGUACACAGGUGCUGCAUGGCUGUCGUCAGCUCGUGUCGUGAGAUGUUGGGUUAAGUCCCGCAACGAGCGCAACCCCUACGCUGAGUUACCAGCAUUUCGGAUGGGGACUCUCAGUGGACUGCCAGCGACAAGCUGGAGGAAGGUGGGGACGACGUCAAGUCAUCAUGGCCCUUAUGUCCAGGGCUACACACGUGCUACAAUGGCCGGCACAACGAGAAGCGACCCCGCGAGGGCAAGCAGAUCUCCCAAAGCCGGUCCCAGUUCGGAUUGCAGUCUGCAACUCGAGUGCAUGAAGCUGGAAUCGCUAGUAAUCGUGGAUCAGCCAAGCCGCGGUGAAUGCGUUCCCGGGCCUUGUACACACCGCCCGUCACACCAUCCGAGUUGGGUGCACCCGAAGCCAGUGGCCUAACCCGC
rnacentral:rRNA from 1 species